AUGGCUAUAGCAUGGGUGGAAGCUCUGGUGACGCGAUUGAAUUUCCUUGUGUUCCGGAUAGUGCCGCUUGUCAGCUUAGGCAUGUAUCUCAUCCUCGCCAUCUUCUCCGACAGCCGCCGGCGUGAAGACAAAGGUUGGAACUGGAAGAGAUCUUGGAAGAGAGUGUUAGUGUGGGUGGCGUACCAGCUGACUGACUGGGGCCCGGCAUAUGUCAUCGGCAACCUGUACCUUGAAACCGAGCCGCACGACAAGAUAACCGUCGCAUUCUGGGUGCCAUUCCUCCUGAUGCACCAUGCUCGGUCGGACAACAUCAGCGCCUACGCAACAGAGGACAUUAAGCUCUGGGAGCGCCUAAUCGUGAUAGAGAUCCCCUUAUCUUUGGGAUCCUGCUUCAUUGUGUGUAGGUAUAUACUUACUGAAUGUUCUGCUGACUGGUUUUUGCGCUGGGCGGCUGGCAUCAUGUUAGCCCUGGGCCUUUUGAAGCAUCUGGAGGGUAUGCUGGCACUAUGGCGAAGCGACUUGGGCCACAUCCGGAAGAGCGGGUUAUCCAACAAGCAGACGAUCAAACUUGAUGAUUAUAGAGAUCAACGGAAGCUGAACCUGGAAGAUGAGGAAGCCCUGCUGAUUGCUCAUGACCUGUUCGAGAUCUGCAAGGGAGCCUUCUGUGAUUAUAAGGCAAAAAUGGGUGAUAGGGAUGAUAAAAAAAUGGAUCAUGACGCCAUCAGAAGCAUGUUCACUGAUAGAUGGGAGAGUAUGUGCAAGGUAGUGGAGAUGGAACUCUCCCUUAUAUAUGAUAUCCUCUACACCAAGGCAUCCGUAGUCCACACCUGCCAUGGCUAUUGCAUCCGUGUGGCCUCACCGCCCCUCACCGCCACUGCGCUGCUGCUGUUUUUUCUCCACUGCAAAAAGGGCAUGGAGCCAAUAGAUAAAGAUGUCAGUUACAUAUUGCUGUGGACGACCCUCUUCCUCGACUUGAGAUGGCUGUUCGGAGCACUAGCAUCAGCAUGGACAUAUUCAUACUUCAAACGCCUGCCACACAAUUGGUUGAAGCAUGAAUUAUGUUGCCGGGGAGGAUGGAAGAAGCUCCGUUACUGGGGUGUGUCUCAGUUUCUCUCCCGGUUCUCCUUGUGGUUGUGGACAUGCGCAUGUCCCAAGGAUCCCAACAAAAGCUACAGAAGGUGGGCGGGCACCUUCGGGCAGCGCAACUUGUUGGACCAGUGCACCGCAGGAAACAGGCACAGCCUAUACAGCGUAUCCAGACUGGAGAUUGAAUCGGAAGACCACUCCAGAGACUCUGAGAUUCCAUACCUUGUCAAGAAGCUGGUGUUCAAGGUUCUAUGUGCAGAUUUAUUCCCUCCUCCCCAGAAACCGACUGGCACCGGUUGCAAAGAUAAGGAAGAACCAGAGAAGGUUCCCCCUGUGGGAGGAAUUAACCGAACAAGCCCUCCGUUGCUGCCCUGCCCCAGGGAGUGGAUCUGCAGUGGUAUGGACAAUGUACCUCCUGCAUGGGCGCACCAUUGCCCUUGCGAGGAAGCCGCAAUGACCUCAUCCGGUCCCUAUGAGCAACAAACUGAUGAUUGCUGGAGGUAUGAUCAAGCCCCGCCUGAAACCUAUGAGCAAGCUUGUCUCUGGAGAAAUGUCCACGUCGGUUCCAUUCAUGACCAGUCCAUGCUCAAGCUCAACAACCCCAACAAUCAAGCUGCUCCCCCCAAGUCCACGGAUUUCCCUCCUGAGCUUCAAGACGCCGUCCUCAUAUGGCACACCGCCACGGAUGUUUUCCUCUCAAGUAACCACACCGCAGCGCUCCAAGAUGAUGGGAAGGCAAUCAAGGCGAUAUCAGAUUACAUGGUGUUCCUCCUCUCCAAACGCCCCAGCAUGCUGCCGGGCCUCAAGCUCCGCAGCCUGUACGAGAAUGCCCGCACUACUCUGAAGGAGAUAGGGAAAGUUAAAGAGAAGGAUAAUCCCAGUAGUUAUACAACAAAACAAGAGAAGGCUAAUGAGCUUGCUAAGUGGAUGCUGAAAAAUGUGCAUCAUCUCAAGGACCCAACUUCUGCUAUCAGGAAAGAAUUAAGGAAGGAUCGUCUCGAGGGCCUUGAUACUCUGUUGGAAGGAACUCAUUUCGCUCGGGUCCUGCUACGCCAAAUACCUGAUUGGAGGGAUACUGACGUGGAAAAAAGUAUGCGUAAACUUGCGUGCUGGAUUCCACGUCUGCAGGAACUUUAG
rnacentral:rRNA from 1 species